rnacentral:rRNA from 1 species
CCUACGGGGGGCAGCAGUAGGGAAUCUUUCACAAUGGGCGAAAGCCUGAUGCAGCAACGCCGCGUGCAGGAUGAAGGCCUUCGGGUUUGAAACUGCUUUCAUAAGCGAGAAAUAUGAUGGUAACUUAUGAAUAAGGAACGGCUAACUACGUGCCCGCAGCCGCGGUCAUACGUAGGAUCCGAGCAUUAUCCGGAGUGACUGGGUGUAAAGAGUUGCGUAGGUGGCAUAAUAAGGAGCUAGUGAAAUCUGGUGGCUCAACCAUUCAGAUUAUUAGCUAAACUGUUAAGCUCGAGACCGUUAGAGGUAACUGGAAUUCGUGGUGUAGGAGUGAAAUGCGUAGAUAUUAGGAAGAACCCCGAUAGCGUAGGCAGGUUGCUGGGACGGUUCUGACACUAAGGCACGAAAGCGUAGGGAGCAAACGGGAUUAGAUACCCCAGUAGUC